rnacentral:lncRNA from 1 species
AGAGAUUUAGCAAGGGAAUUAUUUUUUAAUCCAUAGUUCUAAACAUGUCACAUGUGACCUCAUUUUUCAGAGGUAAAUUUUAAUACCUCAAAGGCUAAUAAUUUGAAGUAAAUAUUUGGUACAAUAUGUAGUUUGCCUUCUUAAAGCAUUGCUUCAGUGGGAUAUAUUUUCAUUAUAAAAGGUUUCGUGUUAGUAGAAGUUUUGAAAAUAAUAAUAACACAUUUUGAAUUAUAGUAUGAAACAUUGUUCUAUUAAUCAAUGGAUAAUCACCCACAUAUUUUGCUAAUUUGUUUUUUAAUUAGAAAACAGCAAAUCUGUUAAGUAUAUAACAAGUAAUUAAGAUCAUCUUAUUUUUGGUGUAGAGUCUUUUUAUAGUAUAACAUAACUGAGUGUUAAUGAUUCAGAGAUUCAUUAGUGACACAUUUGUGAUUUGUGACCUGUCCUCUGGGGAGGACAAGAUACAAGUCUUGUUAACUGUUAACUGUUAGACAGUUUCUGCACAUAGAUUACUGCCAUGUUAUUAGAAUUGUGCAUGAUAAGAGGAAUUGAAAUAGUGUUCUUAAUUCUGUUUUCGUACUAUUUUUUGCUAUCUGAAGCUAACACAGACAGUAAUGAAAACUGUAGUUUGCAAAAUGGGUUCUAAAAUAAAAACUUAAUUUGAUAUAUACAAAACAAUAAUUAAAUAAAAAGAGGCUGUGAAUUUGAAAGAGUAGGGGAAAAAUACAUGAAAGAUAUCAGAGGGAAGAAAAGAAAUAAUGCUAUUAUAACCUCAAAAAAUAAAAAAAA